rnacentral:rRNA from 1 species
UACGGAGGGGGCUAGCGUUGUUCGGAAUUACUGGGCGUAAAGCGCGCGUAGGCGGACCUGCAAGUCGGGGGUGAAAGCCCGAGGCUCAACCUCGGAACUGCCUUCGAUACUGCGGGUCUCGAGUCCGGGAGAGGUGAGUGGAAUUCCUAGUGUAGAGGUGAAAUUCGUAGAUAUUAGGAAGAGCACCAGUGGCGAAGGCGGCUCACUGGCCCGGUACUGACGCUGAGGCGCGAAAGCGUGGGGAGCAAACAGG